rnacentral:tRNA from 1 species
GCCUUUGUUUAUGCGGUUUAUAUGACGUUUGCGCGAAACACUGCGAAAUGAUGGAAACGGUUUUGUAAACCGUCGGUCGUCGGUUCAAAUCCGACAACUGGCUCCA